rnacentral:rRNA from 1 species
AACGUAGGAGACGAACGUUAUCCGGAAUUACUGGGCGUAAAGCGUGCGCAGGCGGCUUUGCAAGACAGAUGUGAAAUCCCCCGGGCUUAACCUGGGAACUGCAUUUGUGACUGCAUGGCUGGAGUGCGGCAGAGGGGGAUGGAAUUCCGCGUGUAGCAGUGAAAUGCGUAGAUAUGCGGAGGAACACCGAUGGCGAAGGCAAUCCCCUGGGCCUGCACUGACGUCAUGCACGAGAGCGUGGGGAGCAAACAGG